AUUCAAAUUAAUCUACCUAAUACAAUGCUUAUUUACUCACAUUCUUUUGAAUUAAUCAUGCAUUAUCUCAUAGCUCUGAUAUUUUGAUGAUGAGAUUGUUUAUUUUUAGAACAACAUUAUCAGAUAGGUGUAAGAGGCCAGAUCUGGCCAGCUUGGGCAUAAAACUAGUAGAAUAUUUGGACUGGACAUUGCUGGCUUAAAUGCAAUAAACUUAAAGCUACAUUCU